UUUCUUCGAGCUCUCAAGACCUCACGUUUAUUGCAGCCUCCUGGCCCCGUCCAGUCCCAGCCUCUCCCCAGGCCCCGGCUGCAGCUACGAUGGGGUGUCAGGGAGGUCCCCUUGGUGUUGCUUGACAGCCCGACGGCGUCCAGGCUCCGGCUCCUUCAGUCGUCCUGGAGGAUUCCAGUGGGGACUGGGCUUCUUUAAGUCCUAAGUCCGAGUCGGAGGCAGCUCACCCGAGGGGCGCCGGCCCUGGGGGUCUGCAGGGAGAGGCUUCCGUGGGGGUGGGGGCUUGGCAGGCCCCUGAGACUGAGGGAGAGAAGGAGGAGCCAGCUUGGGGAGCCGUUAGGGCGCCACCCCCGAAGCGCUGGCGCUGGGGAGCACCAGCUGUGGGGGCGGCACCUGGGCGCAGACUUGUCUCCAAACAAACCUGUCGCCAUUAAUGGCGCCACCAGCAUAAGUGCUCAGAGGCACAGAGCGGGCCUCUCGCCACGGCCACCAGCACCACAGCCCUAAGCGGGGAGGCCGUGGCCUUCUCUCCCCACUGUUACCUUCGGGCGCCUCACCACCGGGUCAGCGGGCAGAGGGGCGGGUGGGGGGGGAUUGGGUCGGUCAGCCAGCUCAGCCUGGACAGAGAGACGGGCAGUGACGGUGAGAGCACAGCCAGGGGCCGCGUGCAGAGGCUCCCCGAAGGGUUGGGUAGCGCAGUCAGCCAAGCGGCAGGCGAGAAUGGGGCAUGCUCAGGGGCCGAGGUGCGCGCCAGCAGGUGCCUGGCGAGGAAGGUGUGGCUCAAGCGUGGAGUCCCUGGCCGGCUGCAGUCCCGCCGCUGACCACCAGAUGGCGGCAGACACCAAGGCAGGAGGCUCACCCUUUGCGCCUGCUGGGGCUGUCGGAAGGCUGAGGGGCACCCUGGUUCACCUAAUGACGAUCACCACUGGCAGGGAGCAGGGACGAGAACGCAGUUGGGCACCAAGCUUCCCCCUGUCCCGGGCCAGGCGGGGCCCGGACCAGAUUUACCUGGAGUCCCUUGGGCACAGGGGUCAGGCGGCAGCGGCCUGGAGGGGGGGCGGGAAGCGGAGAGCCUCCUGAGAGGGCAGGAGCAGACAGCAGAGGGGCAGAGACAGAGACGCAGGCGUGGAGGGGUUAGUGGUGCCAGGCAGGGGCAGCCAAGGCCCGGGGGCGGUGAGGGCAGGGCAUGCACUGGCCAGCUGCGUGCAGGGGUGACUGGUGAGGCGGGCGUGCAGGCCACCCGACGACACUCCUGUCACCAGAGCCAGAGGCUCCGGCCUAGGGCACUCACCAGCCCUGCAACACGCGGUGACCUGGUCUUGUCAGGUCCCAGCACACUGCGGCCUUAGCCCCCCUUGUCCCUUGCACGGGUCUCUCCAAGCUGCCAGCCCGGCUGCUGACAGGCUCAGCACGGCCUCCCUGGGUGACGGCCCCUCCCGCUCCAGGCUGUGUCUGUGCCUGUGCCUCUGCCAGCAGCCGGGGCAGGUGGGGGGCUGACUCCACUACUGACGCUGGGCAGUGCCAG
rnacentral:lncRNA from 1 species